UACGUAGGGUCCGAGCGUUGUCCGGAAUUAUUGGGCGUAAAGAGCUCGUAGGCGGUUUGUCACGUCGGGUGUGAAAGCCCGGGGCUUAACCCCGGGUCUGCAUUCGAUACGGGCAGACUGGAGUGUGGUAGGGGAGAUCGGAAUUCCUGGUGUAGCGGUGAAAUGCGCAGAUAUCAGGAGGAACACCGGUGGCGAAGGCGGAUCUCUGGGCCAUUACUGACGCUGAGGAGCGAAAGCGUGGGGAGCGAACAGG
rnacentral:rRNA from 1 species